GAACGCACAUUGCGCCCGGUGGUAUUCCGCCGGGCAUGCCUGUUCGAGCGUCAUUUAAACCAAUCCAGCCUCGUGCUUGGGUCUUGGGCCUUUCGCCUCUGGGCGGGCCUCAAAAUCAGUGGCGGUGCCUUCUGGCUCUAAGCGUAGUAAUACUCCUCGCUAUAGACGUUAGGUGGUAUCUUGCCAACAACCCCCAAUUUUUUAAGGUUGACCUCGGAUCAGGUAGGGAUACCCGCUGAACUUAAG
rnacentral:misc_RNA from 1 species